GGAAUAUUGGACAAUGGGCGAAAGCCUGAUCCAGCAAUGCCGCGUGUGUGAAGAAGGCCUGCGGGUUGUAAAGCACUUUAAGCGGGGAAGAAAGGCGGGAGGCUAAUACCCUCUUGCACUGACGUUACCUGCAGAAGAAGCACCGGCUAACUCCGUGCCAGCAGCCGCGGUAAUACGGAGGGUGCGAGCGUUAAUUGGAAUUACUGGGCGUAAAGCGCGCGUAGGCGGUUUGUUAAGUCAGCUGUGAAAGCCCUGGGCUCAACCUGGGAAUGGCAGUUGAUACUGGCGAGCUUGAGUGUGGUAGAGGGGUGUGGAAUUUCCGGUGUAGCAGUGAAAUGCGUAGAGAUCGGAAGGAACACCAGUGGCGAAGGCGGCACCCUGGACCAACACUGACGCUGAGGUGCGAAAGCGUGGGGAGC
rnacentral:rRNA from 1 species